GACGAACACUGGCGGCGUGCCUAAUACAUGCAAGUUGAGCGCUGAAGGUUGGUACUUGUACCAACUGGAUGAGCAGCGAACGGGUGAGUAACGCGUGGGGAAUCUGCCUUUGAGCGGGGGACGACAUUUGGAAACGAAUGCUAAUACCGCAUAAAAACUUUAAACACAAGUUUUAAGUUUGAAAGAUGCAAUUGCAUCACUCAAAGAUGAUCCCGCGUUGUAUUAGCUAGUUGGUGAGGUAAAGGCUCACCAAGGCGAUGAUACAUAGCCGACCUGAGAGGGUGAUCGGCCACAUUGGGACUGAGACACGGCCCAAACUCCUACGGGAGGCAGCAGUAGGGAAUCUUCGGCAAUGGACGAAAGUCUGACCGAGCAACGCCGCGUGAGUGAAGAAGGUUUUCGGAUCGUAAAACUCUGUUGGUAGAGAAGAACGUUGGUGAGAGUGGAAAGCUCAUCAAGUGACGGUAACUACCCAGAAAGGGACGGCUAACUACGUG
rnacentral:rRNA from 1 species